rnacentral:rRNA from 1 species
GCGAGUUACGAUUUGAUGCAAGGUUAAGCAGUAAAUGUGGAGCCGUAGCGAAAGCGAGUCUGAAUAGGGCGUUUAGUAUUUGGUCGUAGACCCGAAACCAGGUGAUCUACCCUUGGUCAGGUUGAAGUUCAGGUAACACUGAAUGGAGGACCGAACCGACUUACGUUGAAAAGUGAGCGGAUGAACUGAGGGUAGCGGAGAAAUUCCAAUCGAACCUGGAGAUAGCUGGUUCUCUCCGAAAUAGCUUUAGGGCUAGCCUCAAGUGAUGAUUAUUGGAGGUAGAGCACUGUUUGGACGAGGGGCCCCUCUCGGGUUACCGAAUUCAGACAAACUCCGAAUGCCAAUUAAUUUAACUUGGGAGUCAGAACAUGGGUGAUAAGGUCCGUGUUCGAAAGGGAAACAGCCCAGACCACCAGCUAAGGUCCCAAAAUAUAUGUUAAGUGGAAAAGGAUGUGGCGUUGCCCAGACAACUAGGAUGUUGGCUUAGAAGCAGCCAUCAUUUAAAGAGUGCGUAAUAGCUCACUAGUCGAGUGACACUGCGCCGAAAAUGUACCGGGGCUAAACAUAUUACCGAAGCUGUGGAUUGUCCUUUGGACAAUGGUAGGAGAGCGUUCUAAGGGCGUUGAAGCAUGAUCGUAAGGACAUGUGGAGCGCUUAGAAGUGAGAAUGCCGGUGUGAGUAGCGAAAGACGGGUGAGAAUCCCGUCCACCGAUUGACUAAGGUUUCCAGAGGAAGGCUCGUCCGCUCUGGGUUAGUCGGGUCCUAAGCUGAGGCCGACAGGCGUAGGCGAUGGAUAACAGGUUGAUAUUCCUGUACCACCUAUAAUCGUUUUAAUCGAUGGGGGGACGCAGUAGGAUAGGCGAAGCGUGCGAUUGGAUUGCACGUCUAAGCAGUAAGGCUGAGUAUUAGGCAAAUCCGGUACUCGUUAAGGCUGAGCUGUGAUGGGGAGAAGACAUUGUGUCUUCGAGUCGUUGAUUUCACACUGCCGAGAAAAGCCUCUAGAUAGAAAAUAGGUGCCCGUACCGCAAACCGACACAGGUAGUCAAGAUGAGAAUUCUAAGGUGAGCGAGCGAACUCUCGUUAAGGAACUCGGCAAAAUGACCCCGUAACUUCGGGAGAAGGGGUGCUCUUUAGGGUUAACGCCCAGAAGAGCCGCAGUGAAUAGGCCCAAGCGACUGUUUAUCAAAAACACAGGUCUCUGCUAAACCGUAAGGUGAUGUAUAGGGGCUGACGCCUGCCCGGUGCUGGAAGGUUAAGAGGAGUGGUUAGCUUCUGCGAAGCUACGAAUCGAAGCCCCAGUAAACGGCGGCCGUAACUAUAACGGUCCUAAGGUAGCGAAAUUCCUUGUCGGGUAAGUUCCGACCCGCACGAAAGGCGUAACGAUUUGGGCACUGUCUCAACGAGAGACUCGGUGAAAUCAUAGUACCUGUGAAGAUGCAGGUUACCCGCGACAGGACGGAAAGACCCCGUGGAGCUUUACUGUAGCCUGAUAUUGAAAUUCGGCACAGCUUGUACAGGAUAGGUAGGAGCCUUUGAAACGUGAGCGCUAGCUUACGUGGAGGCGCUGGUGGGAUACUACCCUAGCUGUGUUGGCUUUCUAACCCGCACCACUUAUCGUGGUGGGAGACAGUGUCA